rnacentral:rRNA from 1 species
CCCUUAGAUGUUCUGGGCUGCACGCGCGCUACACUGGCGUACGCAACGAGUGUCCUUUACCGAGAGGUAUGGGUAAUCAUUUGAGUGUACGUCGUGAUGGGGAUAGAAUAUUGUAAUUAUUACUCUUCAACGAGGAAUUCCUAGUAAGCGCAAGUCAGCAGCUUGCGCUGAUUACGUCCCUGCCCUUUGUACACACCGCCCGUCGCUCCUACCGAUGGGUGAUCCGGUGAAUGAUUCGGACUCGGUUGCCUCUAGCCACUAGUGGCGCUCGAGAAAGUUUUGUGAACCUUAUCACUUGGAGGAAGGAGAAGUCGUAACA